UAUAAUUAUCUCGGUCUAACUUAUACUGUUUAUUAUACCGCUAUUUGCAGCAAUAUCUUUCUCUGCUCCGAUUGCAACGCUGCCUCGUUCAAAAAUCAUAACACCGCCGCGGCCGCCACGUUUACCAGCCGGAGCCUCAAAUCAUGUCCCUUUGUGGUGAUAAAGAGGACACAGCCUGGUGUGAAGCUACAUUUAUUACGGAAGGAUGCCAGCCGGGACCCGAACACGUCCGAUAUCAUCCAAGAGAAUGUGGCAGCUGAAGGGGGAGAGGCCAAGAAAGAGGCCAAGGGUGAAGACAUUUAGCCACCCCCCCUGAAGUACAUGGCAUCAUUCAACCCUCUUGGUGAGCUGCAGGAAUGUGCUUCCCAUUGCAGUGCACCAGCUCCAUGUACUGAUUUUGGUGUGAACUUGAUGGGGUUGGAGGAAACUCGACUCGGCCAUCAAGCUCACCACAAUAUAACAUGAAAAGUGAAAAUUGCUCCACACAACAGUCUGUCGUCUGCACCGGGAGGCAAGGCAGCUCAAAGCCCAGGCUGUUACAAAUCCUGGGCAGUUUUUGCCCAGAGCCAGCAAUAUUUUAGAUCCAAUAGGGAUGGAUUUUUUCUGAGGUCAGGUUCAACAUGCUGCAAGAUGCCAAGAUCUAAGCCUAGUAGGAGAUAUGGGUUACAAGAGAGGAGGUUUGCUCUGGCCUUAUACUAUCAAAGUCGAAAUGCUAAUAGAUUUCUGAGCACAGUAUUUCACUUGUCUUCAGUUUCAACACUUCACUCAUGACUCAGGGGUAUUUCAGUACAUGUUGGCUGGAGCAAACAGACUCUGACAGCCCUGCAGCAAAGAGCAUAGGCUUUGUCAAAAGAAGAGAAACUUCGUGGGAUUUGCCAUUAUUUAGAAUUACUCUUGUUACGCCAAGAAUUUUUUUCCAUAUACUUUGCCAAAUAUUGCAAGUAAUGCACCAUUGUUGGGCUUGCUUGUUAUAAAUCAGAUCUUGUUCAAUUAACAAGCUUUGGGUGUCUGCCACUUUUCAGUUGUAAUGCAAGGAAUCAUUUAUCUUCCCUGCUAGAUAUCACACGUAAUGCACCAUUGUUGGUUUUGCCUGUUAUAAAUCAGAUCUUGUUCAGUUAAAAAGCUUUAGGUGUCUGCCACUUUCCAAUUGUAAUGCAAGGAAUCCCCUGCCAGAUAUCGCAUGUAAUGCACCAUUGUUGGUUUUGCCUAUUAUAAAUCAGAUCUUGUUCAGCUCGCAAGCUUUGAAUAUCUGCCAUUGCUUAUUUCAGGUGUAAUGCUUGGAAGCAUUUGUUCUCUUCCCUACCCAACAGUAUGCAAUACUUUAUUGUGGAUUUUGCCUGUUAUAUUUAAUCUUGUUCAGGUAGCAAGCUUUUGGUGUCUGCCUUACCUAAUAUGUCCUGCAGUGACACUUGGCUUGGUUUCAUAAUGUGAAAUACAGCAUGUAAUUUCAUCACACUAAGUGUCUAUCAUCACGUGUCUGGCAUCAUUAAUGUGGCUUCCAGGAGUAAUCUUGUUUGUAUUACAGCUUGCAAAUUUUUUUCUGCUUUAUAUGAUAUACAUAAUCACAUAGGUAUGAUUUACAAAAUGUAAUGGCAGUUGAUAUUCUUGACUAAUGCCUCAUAAACCUUGUGAAAAAUAAUGCUUUUUUGAAAGGGGGGGGGGGGGGACAGAGAGUGGUUUGUUUGGUUGGCCAGUUCAAGGAGUUUCAUAUCAAAUGAUUUUAUUACAUCCAACUUUAAUGUGUGCUAAAAACAUAUAUUUUAUUACAUCCAACUUUAAUGUGUGCAAAAAACAUAUAUUUUAUUACAUCCAACUUUAAUGUGUGCUAAAAACAUAUAUUUUAUUACAUCCAACUUUAAUGUGUGCUUCCUGCAAUAAAUGCUACAUGUUUACUGAUGUAGCCCAUAAAAUACAUAUCACUCUCUGCCCUGUAAUUUGGUGUGUCACAUACUGCAGCAUAACUUUCCUGCUAUUUUCUUACACUAUGAGUUGCCUUAUUUUGUCUCAUUUGCUUUUAUCAUAUGUGCCUCCGCUGCAUAGCUGUGCCUGCUGAACUUAAUAUCUUCAUGACCCUAACACCAAGGUCAGAGCUUGUGAGAUCAUACCGUGUCCUACAUUCCAUUUUCACCUCCAGGCUCGCCUGUCUCCCAGGACCACCAAGUUAUUGCAUUCCAUUUAAGACAACUCAUGUGUUACCUUCUUAAUGUCCUCCAUCAUGUAUUUCAGCAUGUUUUAUGAUGCUUUGCUCUGAUAUUGAUGUGCCUUGCAACAUUUUUAUACAGUUUUCAUUGUAUAUAAUGCACCAUUGUUGGUUUUGCCUGUUAUAAAUUGGGUCAUGUUCAGUUAACAAGCUUUGAGUGUCUCCCAUUGUUUAUUUCAGUUGUAAUGGUUAGAAGCUUUUGUUCUCUGCCCUGUCAAGCAGUAUGCAAUGCUUGCCAUUAUCUGGCACUUGUACAGUUAGUAAGAUGUUUUUACUCAGCUAAGAGCAUUCUGCAAAAGGUAAAGGUACGGUUGGGGGCAUACGCUGUAGCAGCGCAUGGCCUCGGUGCUCAUCUCUGUAACAUUAGCCCAUGAGCCUGUGGUGUUAGGGAACCCAUUACCCUGGGACACAGGACCAGUGUGACAUCCGGGUUACCACAGUUGCAAAGGCAUUAUAGUAAUUUAGCAUGCAUAGAAUGUUGUAUGCUUUGCUUGUAUUUAAAGCACUGGAUAUGUUUGCUACACACACACACACACACAUAUAUAU